UUUGAACUUGGCAAUAAUAAGGGACUUUGUAAGCAUAUCCGCCGGAUUGUCUUUAGUACCAAUUUUCUUAACAGUCACUGUGCGCUUCCCAAUCACAUCCCGAACAAAGUGAAGCUUCAUAUCGAUGUGCUUUGUCCUCUCAUGAAACAUUUGAUCUUUAGACAAAUGAAUAGCACUUUGACUGUCCGAAUAAACAACCGUCGGAUCCCAAUAAGAAGUAAGCUCUCCAAAUAAGCCUCUUAGCCACAUAGCUUCCUUCACACCCUCUGUCAUAGCAAUAUAUUCCGCCUCCGUCGUAGACAAGGCGACAAUAGGUUGUAGUGAAGCUUUCCAACUAACUGCACAUCCGCCAAUAGAGAAAACAUAACCUGAAAGUGAUCUCCUCCUAUCCAAAUCACCUGCAAAAUCCGAAUCAACAUAUCCAACCACACCAUCCUUACACCUCCCAAACUCCAAACAAGUGUUAGUGGUACCUCGUAAGUAUCUCAAAAUCCACUUAACAGCCUGCCAAUGAGCCUUACCAGGAUUGGUCAUAUAUCUGCUAACCAUGCUCACUGCGUAGGAGAUGUCCGGCCGUGUGCAAACCAUGGCGUACAUGAUGCUCCCGACAGCACUAGAAUAGGGAACAUGUGACAUGUACUCCCGCUCAUCAUCGGACUGCGGUGAUAACUCGGCGGAAAGUCUGAAAUGCGCCGCAAAAGGAGUGCUCACUGGUUUUGCGUCUGUCAUCCCGAAACGCUUUAAAAUCUUCUCUAUAUAUUUCUCUUGUGUCAAAUGCAGUAGUCCUGACUUGUUGUCCCUCUUAAUUUCCAUACCAAGGAUUUUCUUAGCAGCACCUAGAUCUUUCAUCUCAAACUCACCCUUAAGUAAAGCCUUCAAUUUAUUUAUCUCAACUAUGUCGCUGGAAGCAAUUAACAUAUCAUCAACAUAGAGCAACAAAUAUAUGAAAGAUCCCUUAUCAAGCUUUCUGAAAUACACGCAACUGUCACGCUUGCUUCUGGAAUAUCCGUGACCUGUCAUAAAGGAGUCGAACCGCUUAUACCAUUGCCGAGGAGACUGCUUUAAGCCAUAAAGCGAUUUCUUUAACAGGCAAACAUGGUCCUCCUUCCCUUCAACAAUGAAUCCCUCCGGCUGUUUCAUAUAAAUUUGCUCCUCAAGUUCUCCAUGCAGAAAAGCUGUCUUAACAUCAAGCUGCUCAAGAUACAGGUCAUUCAUGGCUACUAAUGAUAAAAGAACACGAAUAGAAGUAUGCUUUACGACGGGUGAGAAAAUAUCAUUAAAGUCCACACCUUCUACCUGACUGUAGCCCUUAGCAACUAAACGAGCUUUAUACCUUGUAUCUUCUACGCCGGGGAUUCCAUCCUUUUUCUUGAAGACCCACUUACAGCCGACAAUUUUCUUGCCUGUAGGCGGUUUUACCAACUCCCAUGUGCGAUUCUUAUGAAGAGACUCCAUCUCCUCAUUCAUCGCCACCAACCACUCUGCAGAACUGGCACCGGAAAUAGCUUGAUUAUAUGUAGAAGGUUCACCUUCUUCUUCUGUAUCUUGUGCCACUGAAAGAGCGUAAGCAACCAUAUCUUCAUAACUAUAUCUCUGCGGUGGUUUGAUCUGUCUCCUCGCUUUGCCUGUAGCAAUGCUCUGCCUCUCAACUUGUGGAGUUUCAGUUACUGAGGUGUCUGUCGACUGAACUUGUUCUGACUGAGAAGAAUCCUGUGACUGAACUAUACCAUCGGUCUCUACCUCCACCUGCUUGCUAGCACUCGGGGUCUCAUCAGAAGAAUUACGGUUAGGAUAUAACAUAGCAGAUUCAUCAAAUGUGACAUCCCUACUAAUAAUUAAUUUAGACGAUUCAGGACACCACAAUCUAUAUCCCUUAACCCCCGAUGCAUAACCAAUAAAAAUGCACUUUUUAGCCCUAGGUUCUAACUUGCCUUCAUUAACAUGAACAUAAGCAGGACAACCAAAUAUGCGUAAAUUAGAAUAAUCAGAAGGGCUGCCAGACCAUACCUCCUCCGGAGUUUUGCAAUCAAGUGCUGAAUGUGGAGAUCGAUUCACCAGAUAGCAUGCCGUAGAGAUCGCCUCUACCCAGAAACUCUUCGCUAAGCCAGCAUUAGAGAGUAUACAACGGGCCCUCUCCAAAAGAGUUCUAUUCAUCCGUUCGGCCACCCCGUUCUGCUGUGGAGUAUGCCUAACGGUUUUAUGUCGAACGAUCCCUUCCUUCUUGCAGAAUUCUUCAAACUGACGAGCAGAAUUCCAAACCAUUGUCGGUCCUUAAUCGUUUGAUCUUCUUUUCAGUUUGCUUCUCAAUCAUGACCUUCCACUGCUUGAAAUAAUUGAACACCUCAUCCUUACUUUUCAAAAAGAACGCCCACACUUUACGAGAAUAGUCGUCAAUAAAAGUCAACAUAUAUCUAGCACCACCAUGAGUAGGAAUACGAGAAGGUCCCCAAAGAUCAGAAUGGAUGUAGUCCAGAGUACCUUUUGUUCGGUGAACUGUGGCCUUAAAGCUGACUCUCUUUUGUUUGCCAAAAACACAAUGCUCGCAGAAGUCCAACUUUUCUAAACUCUGACUACCAAGUAGACCUCUCUCGCCUAACUUCAUCAUACCAUAUUCACUCAUAUGGCCCAGUCGCAUAUGCCAUAAUUUGGUGCUAUCCGAAUCUGACAUAGAGGAAGAAGUCACCGCUGCUGAACCUGUCACAGUGGAACCCUGUAAAACAUAUAACAUGUCGGACAACUUAGCCUUCAUCACUACAAGAUUCCCUUUAGCGACCUUCAUUAAUCCAUCAGCUGAAGAAUACUUAAAGCCUUUAGUAUCAAGUGUACCCAACGAGAUCAAAUUUUUCCUCAUAUCCGGAACAUGCCGAACCUCAGAUAUAGUCCUCACUACUCCAUCGAACAUUCGUACCCGAACAAUGCCAAUUCCAAUAACUGUGCACUUAGAGUGAUUUCCCAUCAAUACAUCUCCACCUUCAAUAGGCAUGUACGUCGAGAACCAUUCUCUAUGUGUACAGAUAUGAAAAGAACAUGCGGAGUCCAUAAGCCACUCAUCCUGUCUACGUGUCUUAUUCGUAACUGUAAAGACGAUAUCAUUUUUAUCUGAUUCUCCUGCUGCAACACUUGCUUCUGCUUCAGUAUUGGUGUUUUUCUGACCUUGAUUCUUAUCACCAUUAUUCUUCCGCUGCUCUUUAUUUUUCAACUUGAAACAAUCAGCUUUUAUGUGACCCUUCUUCUUACAAUAACCACAAAUCAGAUUCCUAUGCUUUGACUUUGAUCUAGAUGUACCUCUAUUACCAGAACCCUUCUCCCGAGACCUCCCUCUAGCGACCAAACCUUGUCCUGAAGCUCCAGCUGUCUCGUUGCUUAUCUGCAUGUCAAUUCUCUCUUUUGAAAGUAAAGAGGAUUUAACAUCAUCGAGACAUAGAGUAUCUCGUCCAAACAAGAAAGUCUCACGAAAAUUCUUAUAAGAGGGCGGUAGAGAACAUAAUAAUAAAAGGGCUUCAUCUUCCUCCUCGAUUUUAACAUCUAUCGAGCGGAAAUCCAUAAUGAUAGAAUUAAAUUCAUCUAAAUGCGACUUAAUAGAGGUACCUUCCGCCAUGCGCAACAUGAAGAGACGUUGCUUCAAAUAUAACUUGUUAGUGAGAGAUUUCGUCAUAUAGAGAGACUCCAAUUUAAGCCAAAGCCCUGCUGCGGUCUUUUCAUCCAAGACCUCGCACAAUACCUCAUUAGAUAAACAUAAUUGUAUUGCCAUAAGAGCUUUGUCAUCAAUCUCCUCCUUCUGCUCUGCCGUUAAUGAAUCGGACAUCUUUUCUUUUCCCUACAGUGCCUUCUGCAAUCCUUGCUGCGUCAAUACUGCACGCAUCUUGACUUGCCAUAAUGCGAAACUGUUGGUCCUGUCAAAUUUCUGAAUCUCGAACUUCGUCGUCAUCUUAAUCCUCAAAGGGAAUAGAAAGGCUCUGAUACCAGUUUGUUAAAAUCGGAACGGCGAAAAAUAGAUCCAGAAAAUAGUUUAAUGCAAGAAAAGAAAAGAUAAGGAAAGAACACACCGAUAUUUACGUGGUUCGGCCAACGGCCUACGUCCACGGGCGAAGACGGAGCAAAUAAUUUAUUAAUGUCGAAAAGGCGGAGUACAAAGAAAAUCUCUCAAAGAUCAAAACUUGAUUAGAUCCGAAAUGCCGCAACAAGCAACUCCGGAAAAACGAGGCUGCUCUCUCACCAAUCCGUACGGACCACAAAAUUAGCACUAAUUAGUACGGCUCCUUCUUGGUUCUCUCCGCAACAGCCGUACACACCCUCCAAGAGACUUAAUUAAUUAGUGCAUGGCCACUUCUAAUUUGUCGCGGCGGCUUCUUGAUCGUCCGGAACAUACAUUGCUUGGCUUAAUUAGUAUGUGGCAUCUUAAUUUGGUCGCGGCGAUUAAUUUGGCCGUAGCAUAUAUUUAUAAUACAUGUCUCCUAAAUAGAGUCUAAUCCUAAUUCAAUUAGAAAUUAGAUUCCGACUCAUAAUCCAUAUAUGCCAAAUUAAAUCUAAAUUAUAUCCAAUCCCAAUUAGAUUAGGAUUUAAUUCCAAUUUAGAUAACUACAAAUCUAAACCAAAUAUAACAAUGGCUCGACAUCUCGCUCCGACAUCGAAACUCCAUCAGAUGGCGUGGAGGAUAUUCUGGAUGUGCACGAGUCAGCAACGCGACAUGGCACUCAUCGCCGAUACUUGGUGCGUUGGCGUGGACGACCAUUGUCCGAUAGCAAUUGGAUUUCUGAGGCGGAGUUGCGCCAACUUCGAGAGGACUUGUACCAGAGAUAUCAAGAUGCCAUCUCGACGGAGUCGAGAUUUUCCCAACUCGAGGGGAACUGAUGCAGCAAAUAAAUCUCGUUUUAUUUUCGAAUGCAAUUUUCUUUUAUUUUGUAGGUUCGUGUUUGAUUCUAACUUAAAUCAUUUAGGUUUAGUUGAUUUGGCUAACCCAAACCCUUUUCUCCAAUAAACAAAAAAACAAUCCCAAAAAGACCUUUAGAAUUCCCCAAAAACAAAGACCUUUGAAAUUCUCAAAAUUGUUUUGUUUUCUAUGCAUGACUCAUGGGUGACCGUGUUGUGUUGAAAACGAAAAAACAAUAAUUUAUUAUCAGAGGGCUCUCAACACUAUAAAUACAUGGUUCUUGAAGCCUUAAGGGAGAUAUAUUUGGAUGAAUAAAAAAUUCUACUCUCACUCUUUAUCCUUGGUGUUCUACUUCCCGGUGAGAUCAUCGACGCUUCUUACUCGCGCCGAGAUCGUCUUCUUCCUCAACUUGAUCAUUAUCGCUUCUUCCUCGUGACAAGAUCGGCUUCUACUUCUACGCCUCCUCUUCUUCCGAGUCACUAUCUCAUCUUCUUCUUCUAUGUUGCCGAAGUUCUACCCGUGGUGUACCGCCCUCCUCGUCGAUCGUGGAUCCCCCACAAUCGUGUGAACGGUGCACUUUUUGUAUCUCUCAUCUCCUGAUAUCCUAUUAUUCCCUUUUAAUCUAGCCUUCCACCAUUACCAACCAUAUUUGCCAAACAACCAAACCUAAAGCUUUAACUCCGAUAAAGCCAAAUUUACCUUUUGGAAGUAUUAUAUGUAUUUUCAGUUGGUUGUUAUUAUCUCAUAUAUUGAAGGUUUAUCAACAUUUUAGUAUUACUUCAAUUCGGUUUUAAUUUUUGUCUUGCUGAAAUUUUUGCUUCCUUACUUAAAAUUCAUCGGAAUUGAUAAAUUAAACGUUGUUUUACCUUUAAACAAAAGCAAACUUGAAAAUUCAAUUUUGGCAACCUCUCGGUUUGCAUCAGUAAUGCUUCGAAGCAACAAAGAAAAACAAGUUUUAAACCUAGCAAAGUGAACAAAUGUCCUGCAUGGUUACAGUUAACUUACUGGGUUUACUAACAAAAAGCCAUUUGACUAAAGAUUCUUUUACUAGCUUGUAGCUAUGAAACUCAGGUAAUAUUAAUUGAAAGAACAUUUGGAAACAAAAGUAUCUUCAGUUAUAGCUAAUAAGAUAAAGCUAGGAAGCAAGCAACUCAGACAUGUAAUUAUCACAAUUAGAAGCCAACCUGUCGUAUAAAGGUUGAUUUACCACCCAUGUUAGGCCCAGUGAUUAUCUGAAACCAGCUCUUACCACGGACCUAUAUUCAGCCAAAAUCACCACAUAUUAGAAAGUGAUUUUCUCCUGCAAUUACAACCAAAGAGACUCUGCAAGAUUACUUACAAGAGUGCAAUCAUUAGGAAUAAAAUUCACACCAUCUUGAGCCUCCACACAAGGGUGCCUGCUUCCUUCAAGUAUAAUAUCCCCUUCAUCCUUCAAUAAAAGACCAUUAAAAUUAUGAUGACAAUAUAGUUCAGAAAAAUAUCACAUAUGGGAAAAAUAAUAGCCUGUAUAUCUUACCGAGGGCGUGAUAUCUGGUCUUACAUAUGGUAUUGGACAACUGGUUGCCAAGUCAGCAAAGCUUAACAAAACAUCAAGCUCUGAAAGAACCCCAGCAAGAGCUUCAAACACCUAAUGACCAGAAAGAUUUAAGGCAUUUCUUACAUGUAAAAAGAAGCCAAUAAAAUGACACUUAGGCAUACCUCCGAAAAUGUAGCUGAAGUAUCAACUACUCGAGCAACAAUACCUUUCUGACAACUUGUGUACUCGCUAAGUAUCUUUUGAUAUUGAUCUCCUAACUUUUUAAGCUUGGAGUUUGUAAACUUCACUCCAUCCUUUCUAGUUUCCAGAACAAUGUAAUGAGUACUGAGCUUUUUUCUUACUUUCUGCUCUUCUUUCUUUGUGAUCCUAAAAACAUGUCCAAAUUGCGUUCCUUUUUCUAACUUCAAUGCCUUAUCAAGAGGAAGAUCAAGAUCAUUUGCUGUUUGCUUAUGCAAAUUGUCUAUCUGAUGCUCAAUUGCAUUAAGCUCGUCCUUCAGUGCAGCCAAGUCGGGAUCAUAGUUAGGAGAUAUCAUGUAUUCACCAUUCUCUAGUUGAUCGAGGUCAAUAGAAACCUCAACAAGAGCAAUAAACUUGCCCAACCGAUCCUCAUCCAUCCAAAAUUUUAAAGUUUCAAUAUACCGGCUCCUUAUUAAUGGUGAAAACUGCCCUUCACAAUGCUCCAGAACAUCUUUGAUGUGUGGAAGUCUAAUGCCUGACUGCAUAAUAGAAAAUUCAAUUUAAUGAAAACUUAGAUUACAAAGAAGUUGUAAUAAUCAAUACACAAAGGGGCAUUAACUGUAUUGAUACUAACAUGUAAGAAACUAGGGAAAUUUGGCUAUGAAAGAACUAGUAAUAUGGGUAAUUAAAAGGAAUGAGGGAGAUUACCUGAUAUAGUUUUAUCACUGGCAGCAAAUUAGCUGAUUUCUUUUUCAGGAUAUGUGUCAAACGCUCAAUAUCUGAAAUUCUUUUCAGGUGUUGCCUCAGUCCUUGACGAAGCUCUGCAUCCUCCACAAAUGCCUGAACCAAAUUCAGCCUGCAGUUGAUCUCAUUCACAUCUAAUAAUGGUUGUUUGAGCCACCGAUUAAGAAGCCGCUUUCCCAUGCCAGCAGUGCAGGUUCUAUUCAUUAGGCCAAACAAACUAAAAUUUUUGUUUAAGUCAGUCUUGCUCUCUAAAACAUUUAAUGCUCGCAUUGCAGCUGAAUCCAGUCUCAUGUAGCUGUCCAAAUUGUACUUUUCAAUGCUGUAAUUUCCAUAAUUACUAUCAUCUGAAAGUAACUCCAUAUAGGACAUCAAAGCCCCCAAUGCACCUAAAGCAUAUUCGAAUUCGGAGAGUAGAUCACGAACUGGUUCAAUUGCUCCUCUGACUAUCCUACCAAGAUCCUGCACCAAAUCUCUCGAUCUGAAUUCAGACUUUUUCCGUUCAGUGACAAGAACAUUGCAUCUGGAAAGAGCAUCAUGAAGAAGCUUGAAAUCACUGGUCUUCCCACUUUCCAUAGGAAGAAGACACUCUUUACAACCAAGAGCAACCAAUACUGAUUCAAGGUUUGUGAACUGGCUAUCAUCAAGAAACUCCGCCACACCAAGCUUUCUCUUAGUCAUAUCCACGAAACUUAGCCCUAUUGUGCACUGGUUUUCGCGGAAUAUAGGAAACAGUGAAACAGUGACAGGGUAAUCCUGCAUCUCAUUGUUUGCAAACAGCACAUCUUCAAAACUACCAAUGUUGCCAGGUGUGCCAGUUUUAGUCAACCUCCAAUUUGAUCCACUACCCUCAUAGAGCUCCAGUGUGUGAUCUGUUCUUUCUAGCAAAAGGUCGCGAGCGAUCGUCUCAAACAUAUUUUUACUUAUGCUCACACUGGAUAUUCCCUCUGGACCAUUACCCAACUGUCGCAAAGCUGUAGUAGUGUGGUAAUAUGUCCUCGCGAUGAAGGUUGCAUUCUCACCAUGAGCAGUAUAAUAAUCCUACCAAAAUAACGAAAUAGUUAGCAAGGGUUUGUUCCAGGGGAACAAGUCCAUCAGAUAAAAGGAUAAGUGAAAGAAAGAAAAAAGUCACUUAGUUGCAUUAUGUGUUAAUUGUGUAGGCACAAAUUUGCAUCUAUUGUAUUUAUUUUUAAGAUAUAUUUGAUGUAGCUCAUCCACAAUCUGCACAUAUAUGUAUUUUUGGUAUUUUUAGGAAAAGAGAAAAUUAAUAAUGUGCCUCCAUAUGUCCCACUCCCGCCCUCUUCUUCUUUCAUAUGCACAGCCUCUUGACAAUCAGCAUACCAAACUCCCCUAUUAGGGCAAUGAGGUAUUAUAUUUACUUGAAUUUGCUAUUUUAAUGCUUGAGUUGACUUCCAUUCACCAACUUCAAUAUGAAUUCAAGUUGUUAAUAGGAAUUACUGUUAUCUGAGACAACACAUUAUGAAGACAAGUUCACUUGCAUACACUUGUCCUAGACUUCUCAUAAUAAUUGACAAGUGCAUCACAUUUUUUACCAUGAAACCAACUUUCUUAUUAGUCCCCGAACGUCAUCAAAAAAAGUGGAAAGUACAUUAAAAUUUGCUGUAUGUCAGUGCAAUUAUAUAUUUCAAAGAGGUAUACACAAAAAUAUCUAUAACCUAAUUGGACUUGGGAUAUCAGAAAAAUUGUAUAAAGAAACAAAAACUGGAAGUUGCUAAAUUCUAACAGUUUGCUCACCUUUAACUGAGGUUUCAAUUAAACUACCUUUAAGAACAAAACCAAGAAUUUAUAGAACAACUUUCUUGCAUUCCUCUCUCGCAAGUCACAAUUAAUCAAGUACCCCUCUUUUAUAUAAGUCAAGAAGCUCCCUGAGCAGUUCUCUAGAUCAGAGAUUUAUAAAUUGAUAAUGCAAAUUCAAAGUUGUUGAAAGACACACUUGAAAAAAAUGUCAAGUAAAAAAGCAAAAAAAGAAUGUGGGAAACUUUCAAAAGCAGCUAAUUGAAAUGCCUUUCAUUCCAAGGAACCUGAUCAGCCCUUCACAUCCCUUAAACAGCACAAGCUUUCACUCCAAAUUUUAUUUCCAAUAAGGACAACAAAAUGGAUACAUCAAAUGAAUUUUUGAGCAUUCAUAAAAUGUACAGCGCUCUCACUCACCCGUCGAUCGAAGAACCGCACAGCCCUAGCAUCCUGCAAACCCAAAAAGAAAAAAAGAUAUAUUACAAUAAAGCAAAACAAACAACAAGAAUUACUGUGAUGAGUGGGAAAGAGAUUGUUAGCAAGGAUGCUUACUUGUGGCAGGUUCUUGAAAAAAGAAAUAAAACCCUGGGCUUGCCUGGCAUCUAAAGAAGGACCAGCCACAUAAUAGAAAGAUUUUUAAAAGAAUAGGAAGAGUACCAAAAAUAAACAGAAGAAAAGAUUUGGUAAAGAUUUUUGCGAUACCUAAUUUGAGUUCAGGGAGCUUGUUGCGUUCUGGUGAGUGAUCGGCCUCCAUUUCCUAUCAGCUCAAAGAAGACGGAGGGACUUUCUCCUGUUGGAAACCAAGGGAAGAGUUUUUGAGGUUUAAGAGGCCAACUUUAUUAGCACAUCGACUAUGGUUUAUACGGUAUAGUUGAUGGAAUUUGGAGGCAGAUUCAACGGGACAUGACGAUGCUGUGGCAGGAAAGCGAGAUUGUUAGAGAAGGAAUAGGGUGAAAACGGAUCGAAUACAGUUGGAUAUUUGACGAAACCAUAUCCGCAUCCAUUACUUUUUUUUCGGAUACAAAUUUGAAUGUGGAUAUGCGUCAAAUGUUAAAUUUUUGUUACCAUAUCCGCUAAAAUGGAUUCAGAUAAGAAUCGAAUAUUUCUUCGGAUUCGAAUAUGAUCGGAUUUAUAUUUGGAUAUUGUUCAGAUAAUAAUAUAUAUUAAUAUCCAUAUAUAAAUAUGAACUAGACUUAGCAACAAUGCAACUAAAGUUUACAUUCGUGUUCAAAUUUUUAUAUGCAUAUGUUUUAUUGAAUAACAUCUAAAAUUUAACAAACAUAAAUGCAAUUCUAAAAUGAAAAUCAUAAUAAAAUGAACAAAGAACGCAAUAAAUCACCUUAUUCCCCCACAAAAUAUAUUAACGUCCCCCUUGUCCCAACAAAAAGCAAUCAAAAUCUCCCUUAUCUCCCCGUAUAUAGCAAUUAAGCAGCACUUAUCUCCCCAAAAAAAAUUAAUUAAGCGCUCCCUUAUCUCCCCACACAUAUAAUCUAGAACUUUUGUUUCUCAAAUCAAAGAAAUGGUAAAACACUAUAUACCUUGAUUGACAAUGAGUUAGAUAAGUCGACAAGAGAGAUCUAUUAUUCUAAAUAUGAUUUAUAAGAAUAUAACCAAACAAAACAAAUUAAUAUAAUUCAUCAAACUAAAGUCAUAAAUAAACAAAAGUGACCAUCUUAUCUCCUUUUAUAACAUUAAGUAGCCACUGUUGACCACUUGAUCAUCUUGGAAUGGAUGCAUUUUUGUGCCCACUCCACUAGUAAGUAAAAAAAUCAAAUAGAAAUUGUUUUCUAGAUCAUUUUAACAGCACUUCUUCCACACAAGGAGUGCACUACUUUCAUUGGUUUUCUACACUGUGACGGAAAAUUACUAUGGUACUUCUUUUUUCUAGAAUAUAAACAAGUUAAUACAGUAUUUUUCUGCAUAAUCUCUUAUUCUAGCUGCAACAAAGCUCACAGAAUUUUUUUUUUUUACACAUCUAGAAACAUGGAAGCACAAUACUCAAUCAGCAGCGAAUUUCAUACAACACAUUACAUAUUUCCACUACUGAAUCACGAAAUGAGCUACAGAACACUUAAAUGGGUUGCUGAAUGUAGCACGAAUCUACAGUUGUUCAUAUAUUUGAUCAGCAGUUAUGCAAUGUGACUACUACUCAAAGUGACACAUUAGAAACUUCUAUUUAUAGCUUAUUACUCAAGUAACUCAACAGGGGGAGGCUUACCACAAGAACAACAACUGAAGCUGCGGAUCCAACAAGAGCUUUGGUGCUCAAAAGGAGAGCAAACCCUAGAUAUCGCCACCACCUGCUCCUCGACUUGUUGUCGUCCUCACGAGAGUGGGCCGAGCGCGGUUAGGAGUUCGGACCCGUACGAUACAAGAGGACGGAGAGAGGGUGUAAGAGGGCCUUGGCCGAUGGUGACCGAGGAGUCAAGGACGAGUGGGGUCUAGGGUUUCUAUGCGAGUGUGCGUCGGGGUGAGGGAGGCGGGAUUUGGAGUUCGGACCCAAUUGAGAGAGGGGAAACCCUGGAUAUCGCCACCACGGCACCACCUCCUCUUUGUCCUCGUCGUCCUCCUCCCGAGAGAGAGCGAGGCGCCGGGGUCGAGUGUGGAGUGCAAAGGAGAGAGAGAACCAGAGUGGGGAGAGAUGAGGGGAGAUGGGGAGAGAGAAAGAGUGAGAGUGGGGUUUAGGGUAUCUUUGGUCGGUCGGUCGGGAAAAGGGGAGCGGGCGGGAUUGGGUUUAGGAAGAAAAAGAGCGCGCGCGCGGGGCUGGGAACGGAGAAUAGGAUGCAAUACGCAAAAAUAAAUAAAUAAAUAAAAUAUAAAUAUAAAUAAAAUAAAAAUAAAAAUAAAAAUCCCUUCACUACAAACUUUGUAAAAACUUCUUGUUUUUAAAAAUCGCCUGGGACUUAGGGGCGUUUGGAUUGACGUAUUUGUAGAUUCAACAUAAGUUAAGUAUAGUGGUGUUUGAGUUUUCCUGAAGUGUGAUUAUUAUUUUUUUUUUUUUUUGAUGUAACUCGUACCGUCUGAAAGUUAAAUUCAAUCACUUCUGUUGUUUGUUUUGAUGUAACUUGGUGCUGGUAAAAUUAGUUUUUUGAGUUCCGUUGUUUGUUUUGAUGUAAGUAAGUGGAUCUCAUUAUCUCCUAAAUAUAGUAGUAAAUUUACCACUAUAAAAUUUAAUUUAUUAUAUAAUUAAUUUUUUUAUUAUUAUUUAAAAAUAAUAAUAAUUUAUUAUAAAUAAGGUAAUUCUAACCCAUUAUAAAGUAAGUAGAGUUUAGGUUUUACUGUUUAAUAAUUUUUUUAGAGGAGGUUGAGUGUAGUGAAAGUCGAGUUCGGCACUUUAGAGGAGGAAGUCGAGAGUAAGUGAAGUGGAGCUCUAACGUAACUUGAGUUACAUUAUAUUUUUCACUUACUUUAAAACAAAUAACGGAAGUGAUGGAACUUGAGUUCCAUCACUCCACUUACACCAAAACAAACGGGCCCUAACUGGUGGAAUUGGUCUGACUAUUACUCAAUUUCUUAACCAAUUCGAUUUGACCCAUAAAAAGAUUUUAAAAAUCAUAUUAACAGUUUGAACAAGCGGUUCAACUGGUAAACUAGUCAAUCGAUCCGAUUUUAAUUCAACCAGUCCGAAGGGUCACUUAUCAUAGAUCAUCGAUCGGACGAUUCAAUCAGCUCGAUUUAGAUCUUUUAAGAAUCUUGUAAAAUAUAUAUAUAUAUUUAUCUUUUUUAUCUUUAUUGUUUUAUGGCCAAGUUGCAUAAAAAAUCGACUAAUUUUGGGCUUUUGCAAAUGUGGGCCAUCUUUUUCGUUUUUACAGAUUCGGUCCGAUUUUUUAGCAAACUGAUCAAAAUGCCCCUUGUAUACAGACGCCUUCCGCGUAUUUCUUGACAUACGUAUUGUCACGCCCCGGGACCGAUACCAAUUUGGCCCGACCCGAGCACGUCAAACAGACGCCGAACGGACAGAGUUUUUCCUAUCCGCCCAAGGCUCAUCACAUGUACAUUUUCAUCAAUAGAGAAAAGCACUAGCGGAAACAUACACAAACGGCUUACACGAGGGUAAGCAAUAGCCAUUAGUGAAAGAAAAAGGAAACUAAACAUUCACUUGUACUAUGAUUCAUUUUUGAUCAUAUACAUUACGUUCAUCUUGUUCAUUUUCGAAUUCCUUACAUUUCAUUUCAUCAUUUAUUUCCUACAUCAUAUUUACCUCAAAAUACACAUUACAUUCUUUUCUUUACAUUAUUUACCAUCAUGUACAAAAGAUGAUCAUAGGGUACUUUACUACAAAAUAAAACCCAACUUUGGUGGCCUCUGACUAAGGCGCGAUACCUUUACCUCGGUCGCUCGCCGGCUCGCUCGGUCCCGACUCUGUGGAAAUAGUGGGGUGAGAACUACAACAAGUUCCCAGUGGGUUCGGCCAACAUCACCGACUUUCCCACUAGAACUAACUCAGGCAUAAUAGAAAGGAUAAGCUGAAAUAUAGUAACCAAUCUACAACAUGAUGCUAAUAUGCCUGAACAAAAGCAAGGAAUAUGCUCAAUAUUAACAUAUGCAGAUUAUGCAAGUUCUUUCGUUCUUUAUCUUUACACUUUGUUCUUGUUCUUUGCUCUUUGUUCUUUAUUCUUUAAUCUCAAGGCUAACCCGGGGGUUUUGCCACAUUAACUUGCUUCACAUUAAGUCCAUCAUGCAAGGAACAAGCUCAGGAUCCGUCUUCGGCGUUUACUCCAACCCGUGAUGCAUAACUCCGGAGCGCAUCCCGAGGGAGCGACCGCCCGCGAGCACGGAAUCAUAGCAAGUAUGAUCGUAUCCUUAACUCAAAGGAUUUAUAAGUUCAAUCUUGACUUUACACUAGCUCUAGUGUUCAUACUCGCUUUAUGUUGCAAACUCAUGCAAUCGUUGUUCUUACUUUCUUUUACUUUUGCGCAUCUUUAGCAUUCUUGUUCUUUACAUUCUCCGUUUAUUGCCCCACUUUAUUAACUUUACACAUUGUCAUUUCAUCAUUCUUUACAUCACUUUGGUUUUGGCUUCACUAACUCUAGUGUCACUUUACUCUACGUUUCAAAUGCCACCCGAUCUAUUGUCAUUGUGCCACUCGGGUUCUUUUGCCCUCAGUUUGGUGUGCUCACUUUUCUCUCAUGCAUACACAUAGGUUUUUACAUUCAUAAGGUUCUCAACCAUCACAUUUGGCACGUUGUACUCACAAAAUCAUGCAAUCGUCACAUUUUAUCAUACAUUUUAACCUAAAAUGGUGCAACAACAUAUAUAUAUGCUCAAAUUGAAUGUGACACAUUAGGCAUAGACGGGGAGCUUCAAAUAAGUUUGAAGAAGCACCACCCACCUCGUAGGCUUUCAAAGGUGCUCCGAUGAUUUUCUUGGGAUUUCUAGAUGCUUCGUUCUUUACCUGCGGCAAAACGAACCCUUAUUAGGCCAUUUUGCCCAUAACUUUUGAUUGUCCUUUCGUAUACUUCAACGGAGCGCACCAACGCGUUCGUUGGGUCCCCAAUUAGGUUUUUGGAGGGUCAAUUGCACUUAGAAACCCUCAUGAGCAAAAGCUCCAAUUUGGGUGCCCUAGCUCCAAUGUAUAUCAAAACCUAGGGUUUGAUCUCUUUGGGAAGCAAAAGUAGCUUCACUAUACUCUAAAUAGUCCAUUAGAACCAUUCCUAGGCUUUCCAAAACCCUAGAUUAGAUUUCACCAUUAGAAGUGGGUUGAAGCUCACCUUGAGCUCAACCAUGGUUUUGAUCUCUAAAGAAGCAAAAAGAAAGCUUCAAACUACUAGAUAUUCUACUAGAAACCAUCUCUAGGUUCAUUCAAACCCAUUUCUAGGGUUUUACUACAUUAGGGUUCAAAGCUUACCUUGUAAGCUUCCUUUUCUUGCACUAGAGAAGAAGGAGAUAAAGCCUCUUUGCUCCAAAAGCUUCUUCUUCACCUUCUUUGUCUUCUUUUCCUUUCUUUUCAUUUGCCUUCUUCUUCUCAUUCUUUGUCUUCUAGAGAGAGAAAGAGAGGAGAGAGUGUGAGAGGGUGAGAAUGAGAGGAAAAGCCCCUCAACCCAUUAACAUAGCUCAAUGGGUUGCAAAAAUGCAAUAAAACCCCUCAACUUUCACUUUAAUGCACUGCCCGAACUGGGCAGUUCGCGCAGGCGGGGACCGGUCUCUCCUUCAGGGACCGGUUCCCGAAGGCUCUCCCCGCGCAGCCAGAGCUGUUGCGCGCAGGGCAACCGGUCUCUCCUUGGGGGACCGGUCUCUCGGGAACCGGUCUCUCGGACAGGGACCGGUUCCCGAGAGCUACUUUCACAGGACUUAGCCGAUUUUUCGGCUGUCUCAUUUCAUACGCGUUCGGGGACCGGUCUCUCCCACCAGGAACCUGUCCCCGAGAGCUCAAAAUCUGCAGCUUUGCAGAUUUGAUUCUAUAGCUCUCGAAAACCUCCCGUAACUCACUUUUACUCAUUUUAACAUCUUCGGAUUUUCCGAAGUGUACCAUCCUCGCACUUUGGUCAAUUUGACUAAAGUUCGACAUUUUUAUUUUCCGAAUUUUCGGUAUAUUACACGUAUUCCCUGCUGUACAUUCCUGGCGGGCAUUAAAUGCGCCCAUUGUAACACACUGGACCUUUACAAAUUGCGAGGUUCGAGUAUUUGGAUGUGUUCUGAGUUUUUUCAGACUUUCUGGUGGGUCGUAAACAGUGUUCCGACCUAUGGUUCGAACCCCGAGGAUUGAGCUCUGAAGCCUAGCACCAAAACCCGAAAAAAAAUGGAUUUUUGGUUAGCUCUCGGGUAGCCUUCAUUGGGCUGUGUACCGGUACAGGGUUGAUGGCUGUACCGGUACAGGGUUGAUGGUUGUACCGGUACGUGAUUGUGUACCGGUACACAGGCAGCUUCCCAGCCAACCCGAGGGUCGGGUUUGGCAUUUUCGUGGGAUGUGUACCGGUACGUGGGCCCGUGUACCGGUACGCAGUGGCAGUUUUUGAGCAGUUUGAACUGUAGGGGGUUUUUCGCAAUUGUGGUCUUCUAUAUAGCACCCCAUGCCCCUUGGGGCUUUCCCUCAGCUGAGGAAGGAGGAGAAGGAGGUAAGAGAGCCCUCCUUACCAUUUCUUUGGAUUUAUACCCCUUUUUGUUGGGAUUUUGGUGGAUUUACUCCUCUUUUUGCCUUUUGAAGCCUUUUCUACCAUUGUUGAAGCUUGGAGCUUGGUUUUGGUGCAUGGUUGAGGGAAGAUCUUUGGACUUAGAGAAUUUAGAGCUUGGAUUGAUGCUUCUAAGAGGUAAUUUACUUGUUCUCUCCCUCUAGAAUUGAGUUUUAUUGUUGGAUUUGAGAUAAAACCCUAGAAUGGAGACUUAGGGUUUGAUUUGGGCAUUUUUGAUCUAGGGCUUUUGGAGCUAAAUUAAUUGGAUUAGAACCCUCCUUUUGGUUGGAUUGGAAGGAAUUUUGCUCUCUUUUGGAGCUUGGGAAAGAUUUUCUACUCCCUAGGUGAGAUUUUAGCCAUUUUGCCUUGAUGGUUAAUAUUUGAUCUUAUCGUUGAUCGUAAUGCCCGUGUAUCUCUUCGCUCCUUACUUUUAGGAUACUUAGAGACUCGUGGACAACUCCGUUCGGCGAAACGAAGGACUACGCGACGUUUCGGUGGGUUUAACCUAGCCACACAAUGAGAAAAUCUCAUUUGUGAUGAUUUGAGUAUCGUUAAAUGAUAAAGCAUGCAUAAUCAUGUUAUAUAUAUUUAUUAUGAAUUUUAGAAUGCUUAACAUGCCUAUGUAAUGUAUAGUAAAUUUUUGGAUCUCUAUGUGAUAUAGUGCAUGCAUAUGAGAUGUAGCAUUCUAGUUGAGACUUGGAACCAUGAUUCCUAUUAUGAAAAUGAACAUUACUUUCAUGCAUUUAACCUUCAUGCCCAAUUGUGACAUUAGGGACUUCGGAAGCCUAGAGAGGCUUGGGGACUUAGACUAUUUGAGAAUUUGGGCCAAUGUCAUAAAGAGGCAUUGGGCUCGGGCUAUAGUGAACAUUGGCAUUAAUGUCUUAAUUGGAACAUAGAAAAUGAAUUGGGCUUGAUUGGUUGUGAUGCUUAAGUGUCAUAAAGAGGCACUAAGCCAGUGUGUGUUGAGUUAUUACAUUGUGACAUAGAGCUAGACCGUUGGGAUACUAGUAGCUAUUGCCAUGUUUGAGACAUGAGGGUUGGAUACUUGAGCCUUUGACUACGCUUGCUUGCCAUUUGUGCUCAUUCGCACAUACUUGUGAGGGUCGCUCCCUACAAACCGGCACUUCGGAGUUAGCCUAUGCGACCUAUGUUCACUCGUGCGGUAUUGAGAAGCUUACGAGGUCGAGUGGGACAGACACAUUUCAAGAGCAGGAAUGUCGUGCUACCACAGGCACUUAGGCGGUACAAGCUGGACUACCUUGGGUAAGUCCUUAAUUGGAAAUUGAAAUCGACAUGGCGUCGAGUGGGUUUUAAUCUCUACUAGAUAGAGAGUAGUAAUUGGAUUACUUGGACUUGCUUCUAGCAUAGUUUUGGACACUUGAGUAUAUAUACAUACAUAUAGUAUGCUAGGAAAUGUUGCUUUUUGCAUUCAUAUGCACAUUGUUGCCAUGAUAAAGCAUGAUCUUCAUAACUUUAUAAAGUAAACCGUGACAAUUACUUGUCGCCAUGUAGAGACAUAUUGUUUAUGACAAGUAAAGGUGCAUGAUAUUAACACCAUGUUUAAUUGCAAUAUAGUAGCUUAGCACUUUAGUCGUGCUUUCAUAAAUACAAUUUAUUCAUUAUUAUUGCUCUCUUUUUAGACUUACCCUUUCUUUGGGGCCUAGUGGUGCAUUGAGCUGAGGUCAGUAAUUACCCACUGGGAACUAUAAAUUAUAGUUCUCACGCUCUCUGUUUUAUGUUUUCUUUCAGAGCCUUCCACGCCGGGAGAGGCUAGGGACAGUGGGAAGGGCGUUACUUCAAGCUAGCUCUUCAGCGAGAAACGAGUUGAUAGGUGGUCUACCUCUCGAUAUUUUUACUUUGGAGAGGUUGAGAGCUGUACCAGUGUAUUAGAGACCACCCUUUUGUGUACUAUUUUGGACAGACAUUGUAUAACUAUAUGUUUCACUUUUAUUGUUUUAGUAUUUUCUUUUACCUUGUGGUAGAUGAUAGAUCUAUUUGUGCUCUGAUAUCUCUAGAUGUUGAUUAUCUUCGGUUUAUUUUCCACUGUUGAUGUAAACGCCUUAUAUGUGCUGACAUAUGGCGGGUCUGGGCACGCUACCGGGAGGGCCUCUGCCGGUCCCGGGGCGUGACACCCAUUGUGCUUUACGCAACCUCGCACUUCUCGAAACUUGAACCAAAGCGGCCCCGCUAUUCGCCGGCCACGCUAUUUGCUAUUCGGCUAUAAGAAUUUAAAACUUCUGAAGCUAAAAGAUAAGAAAUGCGCGCCCCGCAACAGGGAUAAUAGUGCAACGCCCCGGAGCAACGCGAGGAAAAAACGGUACAACAACCCUGCUAACAGUGCAUCCAUUGGCUUGCUCUAGUGUAAUCUCCACUAAAGCAGAUCAGCGACGCUCGCCUUCAAUCUGCUCCCUCACCAGGGCAACCCCCCACUCCCACUUUCCGAAACCGUAAAGAGUAUAGGGGAGUUAGUGGAAUAAGCUUCGCCGAGCGACAUGGCUUUAGGGUCUGGAACUGGAGGAAGGAGGAGGUGGUUUCGCGGCGGCGAGGCAGGACGGUUAACGGCAGGUGCAGCGUUCGAGAGGUGCGACAUAACUGCUAAAACGAUUGAAUAAUAGUGUAAAAUUUCUCAUAAAUGCUCAUGUCCUUCUUUCAGCCGUAUAAUAAAUCCAUCGUUAAAUGCGAAUAAUAGUGUAAGACCGGGUGAAAGACUGCAAGAAAGCUUCUAACAGUGCAAUGCGGUCCUAAUAAUAGAGUAACAUUCAAUUUAACAAUGCAAUGUAGUUCCGACCAGGGUAACACAACCAGUGGAACACUGAUAAUAAGAGUCCCAAUAAUAGUUCAAUUCUUUAAAGAAAUUGUGCAACGAGUCGUUCAGCAGUGUAAAGUUUUCUCCCCAAUUGUUGAUAACAUGUAAUUAAUAGUAAAAACAAGUCCGUAAAAACACGAUUAAUAGUCCAAAGCGUGAUAAAAGAGGUCAACUAAUCUUGUAAGAGUGCAAUACGAUGGUAAUAAGAGUGCAAUGGUAUGAAAAAUAGUGCAACUAAGCUUGUAAGAGUGUAAUACGGUAGUAAUAAUAGUGCAAUGAUUUGAAAAAGAGUGCAACACUAGCUUAAUUGAGUAUUUUUAAACUUAAUAGUGCAACCCAAUCUAAAUUGAUGCAAUACGCAGAAUUAUUAGUAUAAGUCGUCAUUAACAAUUGAUCAAAAUAGUGCUACAUUGUUUGCUAAAUAGUAUAACAACUUUGUAAGCAAUCCAUUAAUCUGUGAAGAAGAAUUAUAUUUUCUUUGAUGCAGAUUACACGAUUUUAUAGUACUUUGCCACAUACAAGAGGAUUUGCAUACAAUACAACGUUCUAUUACAUCAACUAUAACAAACUCUUCAUAAUAAUUAAUUAACAAAAAUAUGGAAUCAUCUAAGCUUGUCUGCAAUUCCACGCGCAUAGAGCCGACGCUAAUAGGUAUAGGUGGCCAGAGGAGAGUGACGAAGGAGACUGCGAGGAGGAUUCGGCUCGCUCGGAAGGAUACGAUCGAGCAACGAGGCAUUAAGAUUGAUUCGCACUAUCUGGAAUGUUUUAUUUACCUCGAGCCCUUUGGAGCUCCGCUUUACUAUGAAAUAGACAGUACAAUCAGCAAAACAUUAGAAUCCAUCAAUAACAAUAAAGAUCUGCAAAAAUUUAAGAACCUAAAAGAAAGGAAGGCCAAUGGGCUCGUGGCAAAUAAAGCACUCCAGAUAGUGUGAAUCAAUCUUAACGUCUGGUUGCUCGAUGAUACCCUUCCGAGCGAGCCGCCUGCUCCUCGAACUCUGCUUCGGCUCUCUAUCGUCGUUGCCUAAACAUCCUGGAUGAACUGUAGUCUCAUCGCAGGCGUUGUGGCAGUUGUGGCGACGCAUCUCUUCAUAAAGGCGACAAGGUUAAGGCGACACUACUUUUGGUCAAGGAAGCGAAUGUGACGAACGGGGUUCACCGCAAGCGCAGGUGAAGCGACGUCAGAGAAGGAGGCCCUUUGUAUUCCCGUUCCAAUCACUGUGGUGGCGCCGUCGACUGCGUACGCAUCUCUGCAACCCGGCGCCAGCACCGCCAUAGCAAAUACGAGGAGCCCCCUCCUGCGACGCCACUGCACUUCCUUUUACGAUGAACGCUGUCCGUUGCUUUCACUUCCGUGACCAAAGAUAAUGUUGCUUUAACCUCGUUGUCUUUACGAGAAUGCAUCCCAUAUAUAAAAAAAACGGAAAUACAUUUGAAGAGCCGCUUUCACUUCUUGAGGUGUCUCUUCGCCUCACCUAAUCGAGUAUAACGUACAAGUUUGUGUAGGAAUUCUUGCCGAGCAUUAAAUGCGGCUUGCGUGGAAACACAGUCUUCGGGCCACGUUAUUCUAUUCGCAAGACCCAGUGUUUGUUGUUCGGUUCUCUGAGAUUUGGAAGAAGACGCAACCAAUGAUUUGAUUAUUGAUGCAAAUGGAAUUGAAAUAGUGCAACAAUCCUAAAACAGAGCAGUGCAACUUUUUUUGCAAUAAUAUUUUAAUUUUUAACCAGAGAAAAUGAUGCAACGAGACCAUAAAUGGUGUAACAAUGGUGAAAACAGUGCAAACAGUCUUCCCUAAAUAGUAAAAAAAAUUCCUAAGCAGUGCAACGAGCAAUUCAUUUGAAGAACCAAUGGGUAAAGAGUGAAAAUGCACUUGUAGUCAUUCGAUUCUGUACACGCUGCUUUCCCUUUCCGAGGAGAAAAGCCCAUUGACAUUGCCCUUAUGAUGCAAUAACGCAUCUCGAGAACCGAACGUAAUCUUAAUGAUGUCGCUGACGAUAUUUCUUGUUGAGGUGCUAUUGAAAAAUGGCGCUAAUACCGAAACAGAAAUGUAGAACAAUAAUUUGAAAUAUCGGUACAAUGGAUAACGGUUUAGUGUAAUACUAGUCACAAUUAGUGUAAUAUACUCACAAGCAUUGUGAUAAUCCGCCAAAAUGGUGCAAGAGAUGCGCCGUUUUGUAAUAAACUGUCGGCGGUUGAAGGCUAUGCUAACGUUGCAUGCAGAGAUGUUGGAAAUAAAUUAUGGCGGGAAUGGACCUACCUUUUUCCGCCUCUUGUAGAACUUACCAACUCAUGCAAGUUAACUGAAUUAUAUUUUUAUAAAAGAGUGGUAUUGAAUUACUAUGAGCUAAGUUUAUUGUUUCCAACUCAUGGAUAACGUUGAAGUUCCAGUGCACUACCAUUUUAAUGGCUUCUUUCAGGAGGAUAAAGGUCAGGUCAAGUAUGUAGGAGGAUCCUGCCAGCUCGCUUUCAUCGGGCAAGGGAAGAGUUUUAAUUCCCUGCGAGCAUGGUUCUUCAAAUACAUGAAUAGUUCACUGAAAAGCUGCAAGAUUGAAAUUAAACUUUGUUAUAGUGGAAAAAUCGGCAAACUCAUCGAUAUUGUUGAUGACGAUGAUGUCCGAAAUAUGUCGAGACUCUAUAAAAGCCACACAUUUUCGAUGGAACUAUAUGUCGUGAGUAAUGUAGUUGAGAAAAAGGUUCCUAUAUGUGAUCCCGAUGACAUAGAUGAGGUGCUUACGGACGAACGGCUGGACUGUUGAUUAGCAGCCGUUCUGCGGAUGCAUCUACAUCUACACAUCAGCCGCCAAAUUUUGAAAUAGUUGGCUCGCAAGUUGCACUAUUGGUACUCUUUUGCACCAUUACCUUUUACCUGUUGCACCCGUAAGCACAUUAUAUUUAAUGGUUGCACUAUUCCAUAUAUUUUGCACUACUAACCAGUUACCAUGCACUGUCAGGUAAUAUUUUGCACCAUUAUCUUUUACCUCUUGUACCUAUAAGCACUUUAUAUUUAAUGGUUGCACUAUUACAUAUUUUUUGCAUUGCUAACUUGUUAUGAUGCACUGGUUGGUAAUCUUUUGUAUCAUUAUCUUUUACCUCUUACACCCGUAAGCACUUUAUAUAUAACGGUUGCACUGCUACAUAUAUUUUGCACUACUUACUAGUUACAAUUCACUGCUUGCACUUCACUGGUGCUGUAGAUCCUGCCAUCCUAUUCUCAUCGAUGAUGCUGAUACGACAAACAGUGACGGAGGUAUUAUUAUCACUGAUCUGAAAGACUAGGCGGAUUCCGACGAUAGCAUCCGUAUCGUCACAUCUUCUCCCGAUGGAUUUCAUCGGACAUACAACGCCAUGGAUGUUGUCCUAUUGCGCCAAAGCGACGCAAUGGGACUUACUGCUAAGCAAUUCGAUGACGACGAGAUAGAAGAAGACCUCAUCGUGAACAGCGCUACGAUAGAGUCAGAUUGAACUGUCACAGAUAUGGACGAUGUCCACGAGGGCCAGCUCUACAAGACACAAGGCGACUUCAAAAGAGUUCUGAAAGCAUACGCCAUGAAAAGAGGUUUUGAGUACGCUCCCACCAAAUACAACGACCUUAAGAUAACCGUAUGAUGUCGUAUCGCAGAUUGCCCGUGGAGAAUAAAGACGCAUCACGUACCAAGACUUACACAAUGGUGGGUAAAGAAAUUUGAUUCGAAACACACUUGUAGUAGGGCAAUAGGGGGAUUCGGCCACAGGAAUUGCGAUGCAGCAUUUAUCGCAGCAUUUGUUAGGAAGCAGGUCAUGGCAAACGAGAAAUACACACCGAAGAUCGUUCAGACCGAGAUUCUGCAGCAGCAUGGCGUCAGAAUUUCCUACUGGAAAACCUACCGGGCCAGAAAAAGAAUCCUUUAGGAGGUGCAUGGCGAUUUCGAGGGCUCAUUCGCUGCACUUCGGUUGUACAUGCGAGAGCUGAGGAAUGGUGAUGCGGAUGCAUGUCUUCAGCUACUUUAUCAGGACGAGGGUCAUUUUCACUAUUUUUUCUGGGCAUUCGGUGCAUUGAUUCGUGCAUUCUGGAAGCACCGCGGGCCGCUAUUUGGACUGGCUGGUACGAUCUUGCACUAAUAAGCGAUGUUCACACCAUUAUAUAAAUAUGUUGCACUAUUGUAUAUUAUAAUGAUGCUAAAUACAAUAUUUUGCACGAUUACGCACUAAUAUAUACUCUUUGCAAUUCUUCCAAAUACUUUCCUAACUGGUAAGUUUAGAGGUGCUUUGCUAACGGCAUCAUGUAUUGAUGAAAAUAACUGCAUACUGCCAUUAGCGUGGGCAGUUGUGGAAGGUGAAAAUCGCUAUUCACUACUACAGAUACAAGAUUUAGUGGCGACAAAUGUCGCCACCAAAGCCAAAAUUGUCGCCACGAAAAAUAUUUUGGCGGCGACAAUUCGUCGCCGCAUGCCGCCGCCUAUAACCCCGUCGGUAAAACUAUUUGGUGGCGACAAAAUGUCGCCGCUAAAAGUUAGAUAAUUAGCGGCAACAACCUGUCGCCGCGAAAAAUUAGAGAAUUAGUGGCGACAUGAUGUCGCCUCUAAAAGUUAGAAAAUUUAGAUAAUUAAUGGCGACAUUUUAUCACUGCUAAAUAUUUGGUGGCGACAAUUUGUCUCCACUAAAAGUUAGAUAAUUACCUACGGGGCCUAGUUAUAUGGUGGCGACUAUUGUCGCCACUAUUUUUCUGAUCGAAAAUUAUUUUUUGAGAAAAAAUAAUUGGUAGUAAUAGAUAUUAUUGAUUUAAUAUAAAUUGCUAAAAAUAACCUAUAAUUAUAAUAAUUUCUCGUUCUUAAAUUUUAACCUUUAAUUUCAAUUUAAUCCUCUCAGAACAAAAUUAAACCCAAACACUAUGGCUCAAACACCUUAGAACCAAUAUAUAUUAAAUCUAAUUGAAUAUCUAUAAGUAUUUAAUCAUAAAAUUAAUCCACACAAAUAAGUAAGACUGAAUCAAACUUUAAAUGUUAGAGUAUCAUUGCAUUGUCACCUAAUACACCCAACACAACAAAAAAACAAAACACAAUAAUAGUGUUUUUGUCAUUUCUACAUGCUAUCAAAUGUAAAGUUUUCAAAAUAUGUCAAGUUUACUUAAACUUGAUUCAUAUAUCGUCAAAAUACUGCCAAAAUUUUUCUCGCCACCACCUCUUAUAAAUCUGCAAAUAAAAAUAAAAAAAAAUUAGCAAGUCCUCCAACAAUUAAACCUGCAACAGAAAAGUGACAAGCUUAUCAUCUUUUCCACUAUAAGCAACAUUCAAGAUUAAUUCAGAAGCCUAGUUACUUGACAACAGUAUUGCACAAAUACAAAAAAUGGAAAGUACCUCAAGCAGGGUAACCUAAAAAUUCUAAAUUAUGAAACUUAAUCCAAAUAAUAACUAUUAUUCCUGCAUUUUUCUACUUAAAAAAUGCAUCAUCAAACAACGCUGCACCUUGAAUCGCCACUUAUAGUUAGGACAAGUCAUUGAACAGAGCUAAUGGAAUUGUAGUGGGUUCCAUCGGACAACUUUACCUUUACCGUCUACAUUUAUCUUGUGCUUCCAGUUAUAUGGAGACUCUUUUCAUAAGUAACGAAUAGUUCCUAUGUUGUGCCAGUUGUGAUCUGGAGUAAUGAUUCUCUUAAGCAUCUUUCCACGCCGGAAAUUUUUUCGGAAAAAAAAGGUCAGUUUAGAAACAAAAAGAGGAGCUUGCAGUUCAUUGUCUUUCUUGUCCCAAGAAUCAUCAUGCACUACCUACAAAAGAGAAAAAGAAUAAAAGUUAAAACAAUGUAAACGUAAAUCAUGCAAAUAGAUUUUGAAUAAUAAAGCAAAUAAGCAACUCAUAAAAAUCCCUAAUGAUUUCAUACAUCUCAUCAGCACUCUCAUAUUCAAAUAGUUUAGAAUUUAUUCGCAUAAAAAAGAUUAAGAAUGCCUAAGAAGUAUUUAAACAUACAGGAACUGAAUUGGAAAUUCUUUUUAUUAAUAAAAAGGACAAACUUUUUGCAACUUGACAAAGAGUUCAUUAGCGUUUAACAUCAAAGUCAAAAUCAAGAGGACAAAUCAAAAAAGCAAAGAUAGAAAAAAUUACAGUGUUUAACAUCAAAAUUAAAAGCCCAACUAGCUCGAGCUCAGGUCUGUUGAGAUCCAAAUCUUAACCUGCCUUAAAAAUGGAGCUUCGACACGAAAACAAACUAAGUUGGAACAAAUGGCUGAAGUGAAAACUUUCUACAAGUUCAGGGACUAGAUUACUUGAGUAUAUACAGUGAGAACUGAAGUGAAGUUCUCCACGAAUUGUCAUGCAAAAAUUUAUACGUGAGAACCGCAUGAUGCUAACGAAACAACAGAGGUUAGAGACGCAAGAGUCAAAUCAGUAUGAUGAACAAUCAUUCUGUAUUCCAUCGUUCAAAACAAGAACAUAACAUGUUGUUUUUCAUUUUGGGAAAUUAACAAAGAAAGAUAUUUUUGCCCACAUUAAAAAAGUGGUAAUAAAAGUUAGACCUUCCAAAGGCUUGUCGAAGUUGUUGAAGCACAUAAUUGUCACCUUCAACUGCAGAAGCACUUCUCGCCGUUGUUUUUGGUGCUUCUGAUUCAGCGCAAGCUCUCAAUACCGCCUCAUUCUGCAAUAGUUUGUUGCACAUUUAAGUUCAUAGAUUAUUAUAAUUUGAAGACAAUUUUCCAAAAUUACACAUCAUGAAAUCACUGCUGCACAACGAAAAGUGGUCAAAAAAUGUAAAAGGAACGGAGAGAAAAAGUAGGAGGCAGUUCUGUUAGUAGGCAAUUUUGUCGUUGGUUACAAGGUUGUCAAAUUCAAUUGGUGAUAUCCUAUUCUAUUCCUUAAUGUCUUACACCUAACUUUUGUCGCAUACCUACCCAAAGUAAAUGGGCAUCAACGAUUGUUAAUUUGUGACUUAUUAAAUAACGUGAUGAUUAUAUGGCUUGGUUUCUUGACCUCUUUUCUAGUACUUGCCACCAACCUGUAUACUGUACUAAUUAACAUGUAACAAAUAGUUGGUGGAGAUAGUACACCAACCUGUAUACUGUACUAAUUAACAUGUAACAAAUAGUUGGUGGAGAUAGUACACCAACCUGUAUACUGUACUAAUUAACAUGUAACAAAUAGUUGGUGGAAUAGUAAGGCUCCAGCUGACAAUAAGUGUACUGGCUUCAACUAAAUCAUUUCCUCUGCUUUUGCAAAAUGGAAAGAGCGUCCAUUUGUAGAGCUCUGGAGUUAUCACUCGUGGAAGCUUAGUAGUUCCAUUACAACUUAUUAAAUGCAGCUUUAGUAAAAGUUACACAACAAAUCAUUUUACUAGAAGCAAAAAAGAGUUAGAAAAUUAAAAUGGUAUCAGUAAACCACAACCAGAAUCAAGCAUUGGGGAUGAUAUUAUAUAUGAAGAAUGGACAUAGCAAUCAGAAUGACAAAGUGCUUGUCUAAUGUAUUCAUGACAUAACCUUUAAAUGGAAGAGCUCACAAGGUGACCACAAGACCAACAUAGUUCUAUGGUUCUAGAUAAGGGGCAAUUAGAAACUCUUCAAUUAUAAGAACAGUUUACAAUUUGACAACUUAACUAAGAAAACUAUCAAUAUGAUGGACGGGCAGAGCUACUACAGAAAAAAUAAGGGAAUUACUAUCCAGCUUCAGCACGUCCAACAACACUGCAGGAAGGGAUAAAGAGGAAACUCAGUGAAUUCUAGUAAAAAAUACCACAGAGCAAAAUGGUCUGCAAAUCUAUCUAAUUUAGAUAUAAAAUCUAAUUAAUUUCAAUAAAUGAAUGGAGUAUUAAGUAAAAUUCAGAGAAGCAACAACAUGGAUAUUAACAAAACUUUGUUCAGUAAAUAGACUUGGUAAUUACAAAUUCACUAUCGCCAAAAUUUAGAACUGAUUUGUAAUAUAAUCAAUAGAAGUUCCAACUAUAGCAGUAAACGAGCCAAAAGCCUGGGAUAAAGAGACAUGAUGAAUGUAAGUUCCCAUCCAAUAAAGCAAGAACUUCAUAUAGUGAGCAACCAAUACAUCAAGCAAUCUAUUCUAGUUGCAAACAACCCUUAAGUAUUAAACUUCCCCUCAUUUGUCCAGGUCAAUCUUGUCUAUAUCAAAUACAUUUCAGACCAUGAAGAAAAAUUAUCCAUCUCCCUUCUGCUUCACCAUUCCCUUUAUUUCCUUAUUGCCAAAUAACAGAACGCAAAAGUAUCAGGAAUUUUACAACAUCAAUCACAGGAAAUUUAGAUAUCUAAUUUUUCUUAAUAUAUAAAAUUUCUUUUUUCCCCCAUUUACUUGGUAAUCUGUAAGUCCAAAACACAAUAAAAUUAUAGUGCAAAUUAUCAAAGAUGUCCAGUAAUUGCUCCCAAUUAAUAUCAUGUUAUCAUUCAAGAACUCUUGUCCUAUGCAUUGUGGCAAAUACACAAUUAAUUAGUAAAGAGAGAAAUUACUCAAAAAAUUACGAUAGGGAUGGCAACGGCUGCUGCGGCGAUGACUGAGAGACAAUGAAGCAUCCACAUGAACUAGCGACCGAGAGGCAACGGGUGAAACAAGCUGCGAGCUAACAAAGGGCGUAGAGUGCAGGGUGACAAGCUGCGAGCUAACAAGCUGCGAGCAUCCACCGCCGUCGGGAAGAUAUCAAGGAUGAGCGAUCUAGGGUUUGUGGCACGCACCUUUGAAGAUGAGCUUCUGGCCACGGGGGAGGAUGUUGGUAAGGGGUUGGAUUAGGGUUUUGAGGUCAACCUCAAAGGCGGUUCCACCUGCGGGUUUGGCUAGAAGACGGGUACCUGCGGCUUCUGGCCGCAGGGGAGGACGAGGCGGCGCGCGUUUGCCCACGGCGAGGGAGGAUGUUGGUGAGGGGUUGGAAGCCGCUCGUGGGGGUGCUGGAGGACGAGGCGGCGCAGCUAUGGAAGCUCCCGAUGAAGACCACAGUGGCGAGGCGGAGGGGACGAAGAUGGGUAAACUUGCAGAGAGAGAGAAAGAGUAAUAGGCAAUGUAAAAUUUUAUUUACAGCUGUAAUUUUAUUAAGUUUUUUUUUAUGUUAAAAGACAAUAAAGUCCCUAGGCCUUAUGUAAUAGAUGUUAAAUAAGUGAGGGUAAAAUUGUCAUUCUGAAGGAAUGGGUUGGUGAGUGGCGAAAAAAAGAGAGGGAAGUUAUGGCGCUCUUCAUAAGGAUAUAUCGCGGCGACACCUUGUCGCCACCAUUUUCUACGCAAUGGCGGCGACAAAUAAAUGUCGCCACCAUUUCCUAAGAAUCAGCGGCGACAAAUAAAUGUCGCCGCCAUUUCCCAAGAAUCGGCGGCGACGAAAAAAUGUCGCCGCCAUUUCCUAUGAAUCGGCGGCGACAAAUAAAUGUCGCCACCAUAUUAAAUACAUUGGUGGCGACAGUGCUUGUCGCCACCAAAAAGUCGCCACUAAAUAUCCCUUUUGUUGUAGUGAUUCCUGGCACUGGUUUCUAGAAUAGUUCCAGGAUAGUGUCGUCGGUGAUCACGACGUCAGUAGAGAAAACAAUAUACUUACUAUUAUUUCCAAUCGACAAAAAGGUUGGAUUGAAGAUGUAUCCGAUGUUUUUUCGGAUGUACCUUAUGGUUAUUGCAUGUACCAUCUGUCUACCAAUUUCUCGCACGCGCCAAAAAAUACCUCUGCGUGGAGAAGAUUUUGGGUGGCAGUGCGUGCUUACACCAUCACGGAGUUCAACGAAUACAUGGAGAAGAUGAAGGAUUUGAACCCGGAAUAGUAGAAGUAUGUGGUCAAGCUUCCUCGGUAUAGGUGGGCUAUCCAUUGUUUCCUUGAAAGGCGUUAUUCAAUGCUCACUUCCAACUGUGCCGAGACGAUAAAUAGCGUUAUUCGACAUUUAAAGAGUCUUCCAAUUAACUACCUGGUCGAGGAAACACGAAAGAAAACAGUGUGGUAUUUUUACCAGAGAAAAAAUACUAGAGAGAAGAUUACCAGUGUUUUAACGCUAUAUACAAAAAAGAUAUUAGAGAGCUCGAGGGAAGCGUCCUGCUUUUACACACUGAACCAUUCGACCGAUGUCCUUUUUCAGGUCUUGUUGUCUAUUUUGCACUAUUUUAACACUAGUUUGCACUACUUAUGAAUAGGUUACACUAAUGUUGGAACGUAUUGUACGAUAUCACAUAAUGUUGCACUAGUGUAAGUGUAACAUACCACAUCCCUCGUAAAUCGUGCCGAGUUUCGUCGAAACGAGCGGAACGCGGAGUGGAACGAGUGGGUAUAGGCGCUAGGUGUAUUGGAGCCUAUAUAUGGUGCAAAGGGACCCGAGAGAGUGAGAUUUCAAAAUCUGGCUAAGUCCCAGAUUUUGUACUCUUGGGGACCGGUCCCUGAAGGAGAGACCGGUCCCCGUGCGCGUAGCCUGCCAGAAAAUCCUGAGGCAUUCGGUCCCUGGUGGUGAGACCGGUCCUCGGGAGACCGGUCCCUUGGGGGAGAGACCGAUCCCUCGCUGCGCAGCAGCUGAAAAAGCCUGAAAAUCGGCUAAGUCCUGGAAAACCCCCGUUCGGGAACCGGUCCCUGGUCGGGGAGACCGGUCCCCGAAAGCGAAAAAUGCCCAGUCUGGGCAGAUCAAUAGGAAACAAGUGGAGAGGCUUAAGUGUAAUUGUUACAACACUAUAUAUGGCCCAUCCCCUCUUUCCCACAGCAUUUCUCUCAUCCUCUCUCAUUUUCUCUCUUUCUCUCUCUAGAACCCCUCUAGAGCUUGGAGAAGAAGAAGAAGAACUUGGAGAAGAAGGUGGAUUUGGUGCUUUGGAGGUUCUAGGAGCUCUCCAACAAGAAGAACCUUGGUGGAACUUGGAUUAGAGGUAAGUUUUGUAAGGUUUUCCUCUAGGGUUUGGGUUUUGGUUUGGAGAAUUGGAGCUUUGUGUUCCUUAGGGGCUUUAGAGGCUCAUUUAGGCCAUGAACAACAAGGUAUCCAUGAGAGCUCAAGGUGCUCUCAUGGUGAACCCUUGGAAGUUGGGUUAGGAGCCCUAGGGUUGGUUCCAAAGGUCUAGAAACCUUCCUAGGAUGCUCCUUAGAUGAUUCUAAGCUAUUAUUUGCUUAGGGUUGAGAUCGAUUCAUGAGGAAACCCUAAAUGACAUUGUUAGGGCUCAAAUUUGGGGCUUUUGCCCUAGAAUUUUUCGGGGGCAAAUUGACCCCGUAGAACUAAAUUGGGGGUCAAAUAAACACGUUGGACAACCCCGUUUGACGAAACGAACAUGUUUAAGAAUAGUUCAUGUAUACAAGUGUGACGCCCCAACUUCCCAGGGGGUCACCCAUCCUAGGACUACUCCCGUCCUAGCACGCUUAACUCUCUUAACCUCUUGGGUCUUGCCACCACCCAAAAUGCUUAAGCCGGGUUAAGAGUUUAGCCCUAUUAUAUCUCAUAUAUAGGACUAUCUGGGGUCUCACAAUCUCCCCUCCUUUAAGCCCUGACGUCCUCGUCAGGCUCAGACUCACAAGUACCAGGCGAUGUGAGACUCGUCUCGCUAGCCCGUCAUCCAGACCCUGGCUCAACCGAGACUCAUCUCACACUUCCGGCUGGUAAUUGGCUCUGAUACCAUCUGUGACGCCCCGACUUCCCAGGGGGUCACCCAUCCUAGGACUACUCCCAUCCUAGCACGCUUAACUCUCUUAACCUCUUGGGUCUAGCCACCACCCAAAAUGCUUAAGCCGGGUUAAGAGUUUAGCCCUAUUAUAUCUCAUAUAUAGGACUAUCUGGGGUCUCACAACAAGGGCCUAAUUUGGCACCAUUUUGGAUUGUAGGACGCGGAUCGUCGUUCGUAGCAUUCGGGAGUUUCGUAUUCUACACCCACACGAUUACGAGAGGCGGGGGGUGCACGCCGGAAUCGUUGGAUUCCCUUCUAUGUCUAUUUCUCUAUUCUUGAGCAUAUGGUUGUUUAUUCCUUCAUGCAUAUUAGGGUUAAUGCACAUGUGAACUUUGGUUGUUUUUAUUACGUUUAUCUCAGGGGUAUUUGAAAAUGGAGAUAAAUGGAACCAUGAUGGACAUGAGUUAUUGAACCCUAGGAAUUGCAUGAUAGUGGGACUUGGACUUAGCAUAAGUAAACAAAUGGUGACAAUGACAAUAGAGAGAUAGAUUGGCUUAGACAAAUGGAUGUUAAACAUAGAUUUAACUAUAGUGAUAUUGUGACGAGAUCGACUAGAAAGUAACAUGAAAAUAUAGGUAGAAAACCUAUUACAAAAGUGGCAACGUGACAUGUGGCUUAAUAUCCUCAAUGUGGGGAUUUGAUCGAUACUCAUGAUAAGUCUUGGCUUGAGGGAAGUCGCUCUCCCUCAAGCGGUGUGUUUUCGAAAAUCGACACCACAGGGAGCGAGGUCCCUGAAGACGGUCCCUCAGGUCGGUAGUGCUUGGAGCCUCCCCGGUAAAGAAAGGGAUUUCGGGUUAUGAGUUUUUGGGGUUAACACGGUUAAUCGGCAAGAUUGGGUAAGAGCUAGAGCUUAAUUAUGAUUUGAGCAUGCAUGCAUUUUUCAUUAUUGUACUGAGUAUUUGUAUCCACUGACAUUCUUCUGCAGACAUAGUAUUAGAUGCAUUAGUAAUGGUUAUUUUUUUUCCUUGAAAUACUUAUGCCUGGAUAGACUUAGUGGGUAAGUCGGCGAGGUCGGAUGCCGAACCCACUGGGAACUCCGUUGUAGUUCUCACUCCACUAACCUUACAGGUCCUAGCACGAGCGGGGCGGCGGAGGACCGAGGCAAGGGUAUAGCGCCGUAGAUAGCGGCCACCGAGACUUUAUGCAUUUUGUAGCCAAUUCCCUUUUGUGUAUACAUGCAUCAACUUUAUUUUGUUGACUCCGGGAUGUAAAGCUGUAAACAAUCAUGUAAAAAAAUUGGUGGAUGGCUAAAUGUAAAAAGAUAUGAUGGAUGAAUGAAAUGUAAAGUUUUAAUUACUCGUAUUUGAUUUAAAUUUAAUCAAAUAUCAUGUAUGUUGUACAUUUAGCUCAAAGCUUUCGCUUCCGUUGCUGCUUGCCCUUGUGCAAGUCUUGUAUUAUAUAUGCAAAUCUCUUGUGGAUUGCUUAUUUAUACAUGUUGUUAGAGCCUUGGGCGGACAGGGGAGGCUCUGUCCGUUCGGCGUCUGUUGACGUGACCCGAACCCGACCAAAUUGGCGGGGAUUGGGGCGUGACAGUAAGUAUUUUAUGUAGUUUAUCUCUACUCAUUGCACUAUUUGUCUCACCAUUUUCCUCUGGCUAGUGGUUUUCUAGGUAAUUGCACCCAACAGUACAGAGGUUGUGGAUCUUUCAAAAAUGACAUGUUCCUGCAAGCGUUGGGACAUUGACGGCAUCCCAUGUAAUCACGCCAUGGGAGCAAUUUCAUGUAGGCUGCGGAAUCCGUAUGAUUUUGUAGAGAACUGGUUCAAGACCUCGACUUAUCACGCAACCUACAACGAUUACGUCCCCCUUACUAGAGGCAAAGAGCAUUGGCCUGAAAUACCAAGCAACACUGUUCCGCCGCCGCCGCCAAACAUGCGCAUACAGCCGGGGAGAAGGAAGGUUGCGCGGAGAGAGUCCAUUUCUAACGGCCUGUUAAAGAAACGGUGCGGGAAUUGCCAAAGGUGGGGGCACAACAAAAGAUCAUGCAAGAACCCUCCUCUGGCCAGAACAAACCAGCCACGCGCGACGACAUCUGCAGGCGCAAUGCAGGAAACAGCGAAAAAUCCUCCGUCCAUAUUGUAAUAGUUCAAGACUCGUUGAUAAUAGUAUAACGUAGAUGAUAAUUGUUCAAGACUCUUUGAGUAAUAGUGUAAAGAGGAGGAUAACAGUUCAACAGUCUUUGUAACUAGUGUAACAAAGACCACAACAGUUCAACAGUCUUUGCUACAUUGCUUAACAGAUAUAAAAGCUUACACUACUUAGAAAUUAUAUGCGCCGAUACUUGAUGUGUUACACCAUUACAAGUAAAUUUCGAAUCAUUUAUUUAUAACAAAUGUAAUGAGAAUAUUAAUAUUUACACCGAAUGUUCAAAUGUGAGAAAAAUGACAAUAUAAAUUCAAGAAUUGUUAAUCGAAUCAUUGCAAGUAAAAGAGCAGCAAAAAUUCUGCUGCUAUCUCGCCCCGUUUCUUCGCCAUAUUCUCCUGGGAGAAGUCCAUGUUCCACCCCUUCUACAUGUAUUCUUCGUAUGUCAAAAUGAAAAUUGCGCAAUCAUUUGACUAAUCUUGCAUCGGGAUGUCUUUUAUGUUGAUCUUGCUCCUAGUCAAUGGGACGGGUCUCACGGCGGCGAAACAAAUCGGGAAGUUUAUUUUGCCAAAAAUUUUCUACGAAAUCACACUGUAUAAGAGAAUGUUGCACUAAUUAGAAAUAUAACAGGAUAAUCCUUGCACAAUAUUAAACUAUUAAAGAAAUACUUACCGCUUUUUCAAACCCAACAUUGUAUUUAGCAUUUUUAAUGGGCGAGAAGUGGAGGUACUUCCCUUCUUGGAGAUCAACUGUCAGCAAAUGCCAGUAAUCGAAGUUGAAGAGCGGGAUGGACCAAUACUUCGCUUCACUAAUUACCCCCUCGGUCAAAUCGUUCAAAAACAUGUCGGCCGCAAUUGCAGUACCUAUGGUAUGAUAAAAAAAAAUCGUGGAGUAUAUGUGUAAUAUACCGAACUUCUAUAGUCAUGAAGUUUUGGUGGAUGUUAGGAGCCAUUGGAAUCGUUCCGGCGAAGUUCGGGAGUGUUCGGGGGUUUUCGGUGCGCGUUGGGCGCGAAAACGGAGCCCGAAAGGCUAUGUUGGACCAUGGACUAAAUUCAGCAUAAGCGUGGAUGAAAAGAUGGUUUAACCACGGUCGAAAAUGUGUUUCAGGUGUCUCGGUGCUAUUUGAGGUGAAUCGGAGCCCCCAGGAGCGAGAACGAAGCAAAACGGAAAAAAGGUUGAAAAUUGGCUAAGUGCUAAAAUUACUGGGCUGGGAGGACCUAUGGGGUACGGACCCUCUGGCCAAGGUCCAGACCCCGAGAGUGAAAUCUGCCCAGUAAAGGGCUGAUGGCAGUUUUGUAAUUAGGAGGAACUUUAUAUAAAGGGGCUUCUUCUCCCCUUUCUUCUCCUUCCCAGCCAACACACACACACCCCCACACCUUCUAGUGAGAGAAACUCUCUCCCUCCCUCUAGAAUACUCUCUCCUCUCUCUAGAUCUCUCUCUCAAAUUCGGAGGGUUGGAGAGAAGGAGCUUGGGAACGCGUUGGAGGUGUCGGUUCGGGUCCUCGUGCACCCGAUUGCGCGGCAUGCGUCCGUCUCGGCAUUCACAUUUUGGUAAGUGUUGGGAUUUUAAUUAAAUCCUUCAUGAAUGAUAUUCUAGUAAUUCCUAGAGUAUAUUAUGCAUGUUACUCCAUAUAUUUUUGGGGUAUUUGGGGAUGUAUUAAGGCUAGGACUUCAAAUUGGGGGUUUUUAGUGAAUGAGGGUUUUGAUAUCAUUUAACCCUUUAAUCCUCUAAUUGAAGGUUAGAGUUGAACCCUUGAUGACCCUACAUUGCGGAUUGUUGGGCGUUCGGUGAUCGUUUGCACGUAGAGUCGAACCGGAUCACGUGUACCGCAGGAGCCUGAUUGCAAGUGACUACAAGCAAUCGGAGAGCGAUAUUAGGUAGGUUAUGCUUCACCGAAGUGAUUAAGUCACUUUCAAGCCAAAGUGAAGUAUGAAUGUUGUUGAUGCAUGUAUAGUUGGUAGGUUGUAUUUGAUAAUGUGAAUACCUAAAUCAUAUUAUGCUUGAUAUUGUUACCUACCAUGAUAUGCUAUAUGAAUGCAUGAAGUAGAGGCUAAUCAAGAAUGUAUGAGAUAGAUGCUAGUGAUGAAUGCAUAGAUAUAUGCUAAGUGAAUGCAUGAGUUAAAUGCUAGAUGCAUGUACAAGAUGUAUGCUAAAUAAAUACAUGAGCUAGAUGUAUGAGCUAGAUAUUAUAUAAAUGCAUGAUUUAGAUAUGAAUGCAUGAUUGAGAUGCUAAUAA
rnacentral:lncRNA from 1 species